rnacentral:rRNA from 1 species
GACGAACGCUGGCGGCGUGCUUAACACAUGCAAGUCGAACGGAAAGGCCCUGCUUUUGUGGGGUGCUCGAGUGGCGAACGGGUGAGUAACACGUGAGUAACCUGCCCUUGACUUUGGGAUAACUUCAGGAAACUGGGGCUAAUACCGGAUAGGAGCUCCUGCUGCACGGUGGGGGUUGGAAAGUUUCGGCGGUUGGGGAUGGACUCGCGGCUUAUCAGCUUGUUGGUGGGGUAGUGGCUUACCAAGGCUUUGACGGGUAGCCGGCCUGAGAGGGUGACCGGCGACAUUGGGACUAAGAGACGGCGCAGACUCCUACGGGAGGCAGCAGUGGGGAAUAUUGCACAAUGGGCGGAAGCCUGAUGCAGAAACGCCGCGUGCGGGAUGACGGCCUUCGGGUUGUAAACCGCUUUCGCCUGUGACGAAGCGUGAGUGACGGUAAUGGGUAAAGAAGCACCGGCUAACUACGUG